GGUACUUUGGCUGUAGUUUCUUCUGUAUGUGUCUCAAUGGACAGCUUUCAACUGAGAUUAUAACUUCACAGUGGGUCCACCUUUGGUAUGGACACUGAUCUCUAGACAUAGCAUAAAAGAAAACAAUAUUGAAAGGAGACGUUGUAAAGCUGCAUCCCAGAGUCUGUGUAAACAUACGUGGAGAACUGAAGCUACAUUUGAAAGCUGCUGGAAGCAUUUUCUUCUUGGAAUAAUCCACACGUGCCCAUGGACAGAUCCAAACGCAUGUGCACACUCGGCUGUAUCCACUUCAUUUUUCCAACUCAGC